rnacentral:rRNA from 1 species
UACGGAGGGUGCGAGCGUUGUCCGGAAUCACUGGGCGUAAAGAGCGCGCAGGCGGUCGAUCAAGUCGCGUGUGAAAGCCCCCGGCUCAACUGGGGAGGGUCACGCGAUACUGAUCGACUCGAAGGCAGGAGAGGGUGGUGGAAUUCCGGGUGUAGUGGUGAAAUGCGUAGAUAUCCGGAGGAACACCAGUGGCGAAAGCGGCCACCUGGACUGCACCUGACGCUGACACGCGAAAGCUAGGGGAGCGAACGGG